UUCUAAAUUAAAGGCAAUCUUGUCAUUUCUAAACAAAAAAUAAUUUUAGGGGAGAAUCUUGAUAUUAGUUUCAAAAAUAUAUAAUGUCAGUAUUAUUUUUGAAACUCUAAGGAAGUUGGCUAUAUUUUUUAGAAAUCUGUGAAAUUUACCCUAAUUAUAAAUAAGUAAAAUUAAAUUAAAUGGAUAAAUUUCAUUGACCUCUCUUAAGAUUUAAAAAAAAUAUAAUCACAUCCUCUAUAGUUGCAAAAAUAGCACUGAUCUCCCUUACUUUUGAAACUAAUAUUAAGAUUCUCUUUUUAGCUAAUUUAUGUGCAAAAUAAUAAAGUUGCCAUUUGAUUUAUGGCUUUCGAAUUUUUUUCUCAAACACUCAUUAAAAUAAAUAAAUAUUAUUUAAAAUGCUAUUUAUUUGCAUACUACUUUAUUUUUUAUUUUUUUAAAAAAUAAUUAAUCUAAAUAAUUUAAUUUUUAAGUACUCCUAAUGAAAAUCUACUUAAGAAGUAAAAUUUUGUCAACAAUAAUUUUUUUUUAAAAAAGUAAUUGAUUCCAAUAUUUUACUUUUAAGUGUUACUAAUCUAAACAUACUAAAAAUUUAACUUUGUUAUUAAUUUUUUUUUAAAGUGAGAAUAUUUAAUUAUUUUAAUUAGUGUAUUGAGAGAAAAAAAUUGUAAGUCCUAAAUGAAAAGGUAAUAUUAUCAAUUUUGCACAAAAAUUAGCUCUAGAAAAGAAUCCAGACAUUAGUUUUAAAAGUAAUGGAGGUUAGUGUUAUUUUUUAAAUUAUAGGAGAGAUGAGGUAAGUGAAACAAACCCAAAUUAAAUCCACGUGGAAUCAAAUUAUGGUUAAAUCAAAGUAGGCCAAGCUUAAUUAUGAGAUUUAGGCUUUCGUUAUGAAUCCAUAUGGCUUUACUCAUAAAGUGUGUAUAGUUCACGCUGUAACCGAGUAUAUAACACUAACAUAAUUUUGGUACAGCAGUUAAUUAGCCGUUUGUUCUGACUUUUUGUACUAGACCUCUGGUAGAUCAUAGAUGUCCCAGUUUAGGAAAGUGAGACCAGAAUGAAAUCCAUAUUUCGCCUCUGAAUCCAACUUUAUGGAAUUGCAGGGUUUUUGAAAAUAUAUUUAAAAACAUCAAAAUAGUAAUUUCGCAUAAUUAAUUUUGCAAUUUUACAUCUUUAGAGAAAUCUUUUUGCUGAUAAUUAGAGACAGAAGUUCUAUCAAAUAAAAUAACACAAAUUUCAAAGUGUUAGAAUAUAAAAUCUACUUUUUAAGUAGUUUUGACAAGCACACUUAAUGAUCGACCUAACAUUACUCAAUAACAAUAAUAAUCACUUCAUAUUUGCAUCUGUAAACCAAUGUCGUGAGUGGUGUCUCAAAAGCUGGCCGCUAGGUUGACCCAUUUGGUAUUAUUGGAUGUUUUUCAACCUCAUUUGUGUUAUAUGGUUUUUAUAUAUAUGUAGGUUCUUAAGUUUAUGGGAAUUUCUAGCUCAUUACAUUCUUAGUUUUUUGAUAGUUCAUUAUCGUCGCCUAUCCCAAUUGACUCCGUAAAAAACUAUUAUGAAAGCCUGAAGUUAACGACCGGACAAAUCUUGGUAGUCACAUUCUCUAAAAUGCUAGCCCACCUAAUAUAUUUUUUUCAUGUCCUCUAGAUCCUUUUUUUUCAUAUCCUUUAUAUUAGACGGAUCGAAAUUGAUCCUUUCAAAUAAAGGAAGUUUUAGAGGAUGAGUUAUGGAAAACAAACUCAAAUCAAAUAAUUAAUUUGGAAAUUGCAAGUUGUUUUGUUCUUUUAAUCGAAAACAAGAAAUGAACUCAUUGACUUCAAGCCUCAAGGACCUUCACUAACCUUCUGAAAAAAUGGCAACCUUUCCCCAGAGAAGAGACCAUAAUAAUGCCCCGUUUGGGCUAAAUUUAUUGUAGUGUUUGGCAUAUUUAUAGUAGUUUUUAUAUACAUAAGCUGUUUGGGCCACGUUUUACUAGUUGUUCGAUUGAGUUCUUUUAGCAAAAACCAAGACAAUUGUUUACCAAAACUACAUGUUUAUUUAACCUCCUCAAACAACUCAAAUAGUUUUUUUAUCUCAUUUUUCACUUUUAAUCCAGAAGUAAAAAAAACUAUUUUUUCCAACUAGCCCAAAAGGGGCCUAAAAUAUGUACUUACCCCGAGAGAACUAAAAUUCUCAUCUAGAAGAUGAAUACUCUGUCUUCUCACCUGAUUUAUUUUCAUCACUAUAUAGAGCAUAUGAUCGAUUUCAUCACAAUCAAAGAAAUAUGGAUAUUUUGGACAUAAAAUGUAUAUAAUUAAAGCACAUGAACAACAUAUGAUCGAUUUCAUCACAAUUUCAAACGAAUUAAUUAGUAAUGAAAGGGGUGUAUUGAUACAAUUAAAUAGUUAUGGAAAUCUUUUAAAUGGGGGAUGAAAGUGACAAAAUCAAUAGGUUGGGAGUAUCGAUAAAUUAAACCGUACAAAAUUGGUUGCUUCCUCAAAAAAUGUUAUGUAAAAUACACCUUUGUUUUUCUUCUCAUUAGAUUAUGAUCUAUUCUAUACAAUGCCUGUUGUUAUAUUCCUCUUUCCGCAGUCGUAUGAUCUCGACACUUGUUUUUUCUUGUCUUAUGGGCACAUCAGUGUGGCUAUAACAAUUUGUCAUGAGUAAAUGCUAUUGCAAGCCAUUUUUCAGAUAGCAUUCUUUUUCACCAUGUUUUGAUACCAAAUAGGGUCAUAUAGCAUUGAUAAGAACAAUUAUGGACCUCGCUUUUGUACGCCUCACCAGUUUGUAAAUUUAAGUACUACAAAGCUAUGAUUAUUUUGAUAUAACAAGUGAUCUGGAAAAUAAGAGACAAUACAAUCUGCAGUUGGGGUGGGUAUCGUUGAGGAUAAAAUUUAUUUUUUUUUUUUUUUUUUGAAUUAUUUUUGUCUUUUGAGUGAAUUUUUUUCUUCUAUUUGUUUAAGUUUUUGGUGGGAAUUAUGUCAGAAGAGAGAGAAGGCUAUUUCAGAACUACACAACAAAAACUCAUCUUUACAAAUAACCUUAUACAAAAUCAUAUCAUGUUCCUAGUUUACAAUACAAUCAUCUGAUUAAAUGCAAUCUGUAACGGCCAAUACAAAUUGUUCGAUGAAAAGAACUCCACGAAUGAAACGACGACUUCACAAUAAUUUCUAGGCAAAAGAAGAAAAAAUGAACACAAUUUGUGGAAGACGGAUUCAGAUUAUUCUGUUUUUACCUUCAUGGCGUUGAUUUUUUCUAAGAUCGCCACGACUUCUUCCAUGGAGGGACGCCUUUUGUGUUUCUUAUUAAGGCAUUGUAGGGUAAGUUUAGCAACCGAUGUUGCCGCCUCAGAAGAAUACUGUCCUUCAAUUCGUGCGUCCAUGACUAGUUUCAGCUUUUUUUUGUUGAGAAGGGGCUUUGCCCAGUUCAUCAGUUCCCUGUUCUGUCUGCGUUUGUGUAUCAGUACCCGUAAACCCGACUCAUCUCAGCAGCAGAACACCUAAACUGUACACAUCGCUCUUUACUGAUAAAUUCCUGUUGCAACAUGAUGCAUUGGAUAGAGAACUAAACUCGUUGAAAAACGCGAUUCAGAAAAAAAAAAUCUUACAAACAUAAUGUGUGGUGCAAGGAUGACGCAUUGAAAUCCAAAUGGGACCUACCAAAAUUGAACGAUAGGAUAAACUCAAUUGUCAUAUCAAUUGCAAACAUCAUACAUCAUUUUUACUGCAAUGGAUGGAUUUGUCAUGAAUUUUCUUUUCCUUUCCUCUCUGUUUUUUGUUUUCAUCAUAGCCUCAAUUAAAUCAAUAUAAGCAGGAAUCCUUCCCUCUAUCAAGCCUUAAAUAUCACUAAUAUGAUACGUAUUGUCAGUUAUGUAUCGAGAUUUUUGCCAUUGAUACUAAUGUCUUCGUAAAUCUAGGCCGAUACAUGGUUGUAUCACUGAAACCAAUACUGUUACUGAUACCUUGUUAUAAAUCCCGCCUCUAACGCACUUGUUAAGAAAGUUUGAGUGAGAAAUAUUUCCAUUGAUAAUUCUCUAACUUAUUUAGUAAGCAGGGUUCUUUUAUUGUUUUUAAGUUAUUUUCAAGCCACAUCACUAUGGGCCAUAAGAGAAAACUAUUCACUGUUUUCCAAUAUAUCUGGAGCACAUCAUAACGAAUGUUCCAAUAACUCGUGUCGUCACAUGUGUGUUCUCCACCGGAAGGCCGCCAACUUUGCUUGUUCCAAAUUCCGAGAUUUUGGCAUUGUAGUUCUGUGAAGCAGCAAAAUGGGGCAUAUCAGUUUUGCACGAAUGUUUCAGAUACGGAUGGAUUUUGGCGCUCCUUAAGGGCUUCAGAUAAUCUCAAAUCACAAUUAAUUAAACUUAUGAAGUGUGAUCAUGUAAGAACGCCCUCAUCAAGACAGUAUAUUAGAUGCUUUAAAGUCCCUGGGUAAAUGCAUUGGUUCCUCUCAACGUGUGCAAGAAGUAGCACUUUGCUGAUUCAAUGGCUAUUUUGAGCCGUAAGGUCCCAAGAGUCAGUGGCAGAACCCCCCGUGGCAAACCAAAAGAAAGAAAAAAAAUCAUCAAUCAAAUAUAACCAUACAUAGCAAGUUUUCUUUGUUAUAUGUUUUUUUUCUUAUUAUGCUACCGAUCUACGCGCCCAGUUCAUCUUACGUAGAAAAGAAGGGUUUCCAAGCUUCCCCCCUCCAUAAUUCGUACACAGUAGCAGCUCUUGAUAUCCUCCAAACAGUAAACCCAACAGCUUAACCAAGUUAGGAUGAGAAAGGCGUCCCAAGAAUCCACUUCCUCCGUCCGCCUGCAUUUCCAAAUAAGAAAGAAACCGACCAAUGACAUUAGACUUAGAAACAAAAGAAGGUAUAAAUCUACAUUUGGAAGAUCAAAAACAUUUCCUUACCUCAGAUAAGCGUUGUUUGGGCUGUUUUGAUAUGAUCUAUAUUAUAUCUAUAUUAGAAUCCCACCAGGUUUGAUCACUUUGUCCAAAUAUGAUCUUAACUCACCAACCUAACCUGUGAACUUGGCAAUUGUAGAAGAACCAAGUGAUCAAGUCUAUGUUACCAUUGAAAACAACAUAUUCUACAUUUCGUGAAAAUCCGUCCGAUGGCAUUUCUAGAAAAUACACCGUUUAUUUUUAUUCAAUUGCAUUAAAAGAAGCUCACUAAAUACGUCUAGCGCCGUAGAAUUUAUCACAUAAGAGGCACCCCCAUGUUACAAUUCAAAUACCAAUAACCCUAAUCAAAUCAAAAGAUCCAAUGAUCGAUAAUGCUGUAAAUUGCACUCUCAAGACGUCCUAAUGAUCAUUAAUAAUACUGGACAGCAUCCCCCGGAAUUUGGUAAAAUGGUUUCACAAAACCCAAGUAUUAACUGCAAAAUAAUAGAAAAUUGAUACAAAGAUUUCUUCGCAUUAGAACUGUUGUUCGCGUCAGUUUCUUUGAUCUCAAAGACCAACACUAGGUGAGAAGUAGCACCAACAGAUAUCUUUUUCUUUUAGGAGACAAGUAAAACACCAUCCAAGUUUUUGUCCCCAACAACAUCAUCCCAUCACUUUUUAUCCAUUAUCUACUGCAUGAUUACAUAAAAGCAUAAAACACAGCAAUACUAGUGGCGGCCAAGCAAAUAUUUUGUCACCACAUGUUUGAAUUAAUGGUAGAGACCAAGGUAUAAAACAUCGGCCAAUACGUGGUCGUAUGUAUCGAGAUUCAGCACUUCUGAUGCUCAUAUUUAUCAUAUAUCACCAUCUUGGAGUAUUCCUCUGAUCGGGAAUCUAUUACCCCAUACCGCAUUUUGUCUAAUAACCCUGGUAUAGGGGUGGGGUUUAAGAACCAACACUUCUCACUGUGUUUGCCUUAUCGUUACUAUCUAAUCAUUAUUAUUAUAAUUCUGACAAACCUAGCAUACUUCUAUUUGAGAGUUGAAAAUUAGUAGAUUACCUGCCAUUCUUGAAGGCCCUGCUUACUUUGAGGGUUUAGCUUCUUGAUGGAAUCUUCCUACCGGAAAUUCCGAAACUGUCCCCUUAUACACGUUUCCGAAACCACCCCCCCAAAAAUCAUGGUCCCGGUUGAACCCUUGUAGCGAUCAUCAAAUCCGAAAACUGUAAAACAAUUAUCAAGUUUUGGGUGGCCAAUAUUUCCCAUGCUGCUAACUCCUUCCGAUGUUCCCAAUUCCAUCACCAUUAGGUGUUCCUGAAAAUAUUCCGGAUCUACUAAAGAAAACCAACCAACACUGCCAUGGUCAAACAUUCAAAAUGAAAUCAAUUCGAUCAAAGAAAAAAAAAAGUCGUUCGAACUUAUUCAUUUUGAUCUUUGUUUUAGAUAAUUUAUUUUCUUUGAUGUCCAAUUAUUGGACGUAGGGUUUGUCAAGAAUGAAGAUAUGUUCCUGGGUUUUCACUGAAUUACAAAAAAUCACACAUCAAUAUUUGGCAAGUUAGUUCUGGUGUUUGGAGUAAAAUCAACAGAUGGUUUCAGAACAUUCAAAAAUAGAGAAUCACAUGUUCAUUUAGAACUUAAACAAAUGUGUCACAGACUAAAUCAAAACGAAAUAGAAUCAAUUAAGUCCGAAGAUCGCCAGAAAAAGCAAACACAACUUGUUGGCAGAGGGUUAGGCGUUCUUGAAAAUUUCGGAUAAAAUUACCUAAUUUAUCAGGGUUUCGUCACUCGAUUAUACUAAGAAAAACAAAGAUAAUGCUUUGGGUUUGGGACCUGAUUUUAGAUAAAAUCAGAUUUUCCAUGUUAUCCUGAUGUUUAUAGCAAAAUCCGAAACACGGUACUCAACACAUGAGAAAGUGCGAUUUUUGUUUUCUCAGCAACAAACUGAGAAGAAACAUAGAGAGAAGUGCUGAACCCAUGUGGUAAUUUUGUAGAAAAAAUGAAAGGAUUUAAAUUAUAUCAAUGGUAUUCAUCUAGGAAUCACGGACACUCUCCGGAAGCAACGUAUACGUGGCGGUCCAUGUUUUUAUUAUUAAUUCUUAAUUCGGACGCGUUAUUCCGAGGCGUGUGUCCAAAAUAGGACAGCGUGUCCUAGAGUGUUCAUUUUUUUUAUUUUUUUUAUUAGUUAAUUAGUACUGUUUUUUUUUUUGCUGAUUAUUUUUCCUCUCCUCCUCCUUCUUCUUCUUUUUUCUUCUUCUUCUUCUUUUCCGAUUAUGAUGUUGUUGACCUGUGCUCAUGGAUGGAUUGAAAUAAAUUUUGCUAAAUAGCUAAAUGGUAUGUUGGUUUUAUCUUUGUCAUUUUAGUUUUUUAGAUGAAAUUAUAUAAUAUUUUAUAAUAUGUUAAGCCUUAAGUUAUAGAAGACAUGUAUUUUAUUUUAUUUAUAUUAUCUUGAACUUAUUUAUUACCUUGAUCAUAAAUAUAAAAUAUAAUAAGACAUAUAAAUAUAUAUAUAAUAUAUAUAUAUAGUAUUUGCCGUUGUCCCUCAGUGUCGUGUCCGGAUUUUUUAAAAAAUUAUCAUGUCACGUGUCCGUGGUCCGACACGACACACGGUCCGUGUCGUGCUCUUAGUAGCAUCUUCUUGUUAUAGUUUCUCAUUUUAUUCUUAAA
rnacentral:lncRNA from 1 species